rnacentral:piRNA from 1 species
UGGAAGUGCAAAUGAGAGGUUCAUUA